rnacentral:pre_miRNA from 1 species
AUAGUACUCCCUCCGUCCGAAAAUACUUGUCAUCAAAAUGAAUAAAAAGGGAUGUAUCUAGAUGUAUUUUAGUUCUAAAUACAUCUCUUUUUAUCCAUUUUGAUGACAAGUAUUUUUGGACGGAGGGAGUAUUAC